AUGAGAUUGGUGGGGCUGGCGGCCAUCGAGAGAGCCAGGAAAAGGCAAGCCUCGCGGGUGCUCUGGCUGCGAGUGGGUGAUGCCAGCACCAAGUUUUUUCAUGCCAAGUUCAGUUCCAGGAGGCGCACAAAUUUCAUUCACUCCAUUUAGAACGAUGACGGAAUUGCAAUAACACAUGUAGACAAGGCCCAAGCCAUCCAUGAUCACUUUAGCAAAGUAAUGGCAGCUAGCAUGGGCUAGAGUGUCACGCUAAACUGGGAGGCGUUGCGGUUGCCAAGGGUUCAAGCUGCUGGGUUGGACAAUCCAUUCUCUGAAGACGAAGUCUGGGCAGCAAUUUUGCAGUCACCGGCAGAAAAUGCGCCGGGGCCUGACGGCUUCAUUGGCACUUUCUUCAGAGCCUGCUGGCCGAUCAUCAAGGAUGACAUCAUGGCGGCAUUCCACCACUUCUACAGCCUCGCGCGCGGGGGGGGGGGGGAGUUUAGCUGCACUGAACACGGCAUUUGUGGCGCUACUUACAAAGAAAGAGGGUGCAGCGAGAAUAACUGA
rnacentral:rRNA from 1 species